GGGGGAAUCAUUGGUCGUCAAGGUUUCAGAUUUCGGGAUGGCCAGGAGUGUUCGUGUAGGAAGUGUUCAGCAAGUGUGAAAUUCCAUUUGAACAUUGUUUUCAACUCUGAGGCUGUGGUCUCCUGAAAGAGUGUACAUGCUGAUGAACAACUGCUGGUAAGAGGCAACAAGCUGGGCAGUCAGAAAGGGGGGAACACGUGCGUCUGCUGAAUCCCUCACCUACGCCCAGCGAGGAUCCCCAAACUGGGUCUUCAUGGGACAAUUUCCUGCAGAGCCUCCAGCUGGUCCCACGUCGCAGAGGAUGGAUCUGGUGCCUGUAACCCCCCAGGUUAGUAUUAAUGCACACAUUUUACACAUUACGUACACAUUACGUGUUACACAUUAAUACACACUUACAGUUACACACACUCACAUACAUUUUAGUGAGGCAAGAUGUUCUCCGGGAUUGUUGCUGUAACUGUGGGAUGGCGUUUUUUAAGGCAAGAUGGCCUCCGAAAUUGUUGCUGUAACUAUGGGAUAAUGUUCUGUGAGGCAAGAUAGUCUCUGGGAUUUUAGCUUAUUUCACCGUA